rnacentral:tRNA from 1 species
GGAUAUAGCUCAGUUGGUAGAGUACUUGCCUUGCAUGCAUGCAUAAGGCCCUGGGUUCAAUCCCCAGAACCA